UGGGGAAUUUUGGACAAUGGGGGAAACCCUGAUCCAGCCAUCCCGCGUGUGCGAUGAAGGCCUUCGGGUUGUAAAGCACUUUUGGCAGGAAAGAAACGUCGCGGGUUAAUACCCCGUGAAACUGACGGUACCUGCAGAAUAAGCACCGGCUAACUACGUGCCAGCAGCCGCGGUAAUACGUAGGGUGCAAGCGUUAAUCGGAAUUACUGGGCGCAAAGCGUGCGCAGGCGGUUCGGAAAGAAAGAUGUGAAAUCCCAGAGCUUAACUUUGGAACUGCAUUUUUAACUACCGGGCUAGAGUGUGUCAGAGGGAGGUGGAAUUCCGCGUGUAGCAGUGAAAUGCGUAGAUAUGCGGAGGAACACCGAUGGCGAAGGCAGCCUCCUGGGAUAACACUGACGCUCAUGCACGAAAGCGUGGGGAGCAAACAGGAUUAGAUACCCUGGUAGUCCACGCCCUAAACGAUG
rnacentral:rRNA from 1 species